CUGCCUGUAGGGUUCUGAUUUCCAGCUUUGGGGCGCUCACACCCGCCGCUGUGGAGCAGGAAUUCCGAGUCCUGGCUGGAGCGCGAUCUGGAAUCUGACUCGCUUGAAUUCUGACUCGGUGGAUUCGGAUCCGGCUCCAUUCACAAUAACGAAGAUGGAAUCAGCCCAAGUGUUCAUCAGCAGAUGAAUAGUAAAGAAAAUGUGUUAUGUAUACACAGCGGAAAGCUAUGCAGCCUUAAACAUGAAAUCCUGGCAUUCUGCAACAUGGACGGAAGUGAAGGGUUGGAGCAUGGAGAGAGACAGGCUGCCACUGAUUCUCUGAAUUCCAGCGUCCAUUGCCAGUCACACAGCUGAAAGCAGGAAGAAACUUUCUUUUCUGCACUUGGAACAAUAGGAUAAAUAUGUCCGAGAGUCCCACAUCUACCACGGAAAAGACAAAGGUCCCUUUCAUUCCUUGAAUCGUGCCCAUUUUUCUAAUUACAUGUGUUUUCCUGCAACACGUAACUCUAUCUCCUCCCUUCAAACACCAAUUAUCACAGUACAAACAACAACAGCACAAAGGAGUUACUGCUGAGCCUGAAACUCUGAUGGAAGCUCUGAGUUGAGACUUUGUUUUAUACUUAGGUAUUUGUGAGUCAUUGCAGAGUUUUGCCUGACUCCACCAUGACUCAGUUUGAUCAAGGUCUAUAUGCUACGGGACCUCUCUAGUUCCUCAUCAGAAAUUACAGUGAAUGCCAUGUCCAGCUCCUGGGGUGCCUGAUGACAAUGAGCGGCAGCUCCUCUUAAAUUUUACUCUGCUUGUCGGGCAGCACUUUGAGGGUAACCAAGGCCUCAUAGACUUCAUUACUGCUGGGCCACAUGGCCCAAGGCUCCUGGACACAAUGAAUCCAUGGUCUUGGAUUCACCUCUGACGUUUAAUGACAUUUGCUUUCGGGCUUUCACAAGUGGUCUUUGGUUGAGAUGGAAGGAAAAGAUGCAGGGUCGCAAAACUUCUCACUGACCAGGGACCACCCCCCCGCUCACUUUCACUCAGCAACUACAUGGCCAUUUCACAAAAUUCCUGAGAACAUGGCCAACAGAAACAACACAGGGAAGUGCCUUACCCAGAGUUCCAUGGAAGGCUGGCUGGAGCCCUUUCGACCACUUACCUAAGCCUGUUGGGAUUUCUCUAGCAUGAAAUGCUCCAGAGGCAGUCAUACCAUAAGCUUGAAUUCUCCAACUCAUUGAGUGGAAAGGUCGUAGCCCUGGCUAAAUGAGCACUGAAUUCUAGAAAGACCAAAGGACCCUCUAAGUUCUGAAUCCUGAGUCCUGAAUCCUGGAAGUUGGCUUCUGAGCAGGAAGCAGGUGUCACUGACUCUGAUCCACAAAAGCAGCCCACGGCUCAAGUUGCUCUCCUGGCAAAUCUUCACUGCUUUGUUAGCCCAUCCAUUUACUCAACCAGAUUUUACAAAUAAGUAUGUUUUCCUCCUUUUCUCAUUGUACUCACUGGAAGGAAUGGUCUAAAUAACCUAAUCAGCAAUUCCAGGAAACCAAGACACCGUGUAUAUACAAUCUUUUUUUGAGACAGAAUCUCACUCUUGUUACCCAAGCUGUAGUGCAAUGGCACGAUCUUGGCUCACUACAACCUCCAUCUCCUGGGUUCAAGCGACUCUCCUGCCUCAGCCUCCCGAGUAUCUGGGAUUACAGGUACAUGCCACCGGCUAAUUUUUUGUAUUUUUAGUGGAGAUGGAGUUUCACUAUGUUGGCCUGGCUGGUUGCGAACUCCUGACCUCAGGCAAUCCACCCACCUCGGCCUCCCAAAGAGAUGGGACUACAGGCGUGAGCCAUCGUGCCCAGCCACAUGUAUAUACAAUCUUAUAUGUUAAUGUUGCAUACGAGAAAGAAAAUGCAGACGUACCAGUAGUGGCCACCUAAGCAAUGUAACAUAGAGGUAAUAAAAAUAAAUAGUUGGGUAGCAUCUAUCUGUGCCAUGAUUAAAAUACAUAUCAAUAAAUUAUAACUUCUAAGAGAAUAAUCUCUAAAUUAUAACUUGUAAGGUAAUAAUCUCUACGCAAUAUAUGACUAUGAUGCUGAUAGACAAACCUUGGAGAACCGUCUGAAGACACUUCUCAUCACCUUCACCUCAUGAGCAGAUAGUGUGAAAUGAGAAGCAGAGAUGUGAAAUGUGUGGCAAGCCUCUCUGCAAAGCAGUAGAGUAACAUUCUACAUGAGCAAAUCAAAGCAAUCUCCUCACAAAUGACACUGGAUGUAUGGUUUGGGAUGUGUGUCCUUAACUAUAAUGGAGUCAAUGCUUUAAGUAGGUCAUCUUUUUACAUGAACAGGAUUCUAAAUGACUUAUUAGCUGUCAAUUAGACAGAAGUUCUUCUCAUUGCUAAAAGGGAGACCCUGCCAUGAACCAGAAUUUCGCAGGUGGAGGUUACUUGCAGACAUCAACUUCUAACAGGGUAAAUGUCCUGUUUUUUCAGUCAGGGGAAACUGACUUUCACAAGUGGUCUCUGGCUGAGGGAUCCCAUCGUGAGUGGGGGAUUUGCCAAGUCACUUCUCCCUGUUCCUGCUGGGUUUGGAGAUGGUGAACCGACAGAAGACACAAACUCUGAGAAGGGACCAGGGUUCUCAGAUGCUGGAACACCUCUCCUCCAUGACCUUCUCUUCUGCUAUGUCUGGGUCCCAUGUCUUGUCAUCCCUUAGGCCUCCUUCUCGCCAAGAACCAGGCCCCCCUUUUUUUUUUCCGGUGGUGGCACAUACCUGUAAUCCCAGCUACUCAGGAGGCUGAGGCUGGAGGAUUGCUUGAACCCGGAAGGUGGAGGUUGCAGUGAGCCGAGAUUGCACCACUGCACUCCAGCCUGGGCAACAAGAGUAAAACUCUGUCUUAAAAAAAAAGAAAAAUUAUGAUAAACAUCCCUUUACGCUGACUCCUGACUUUCUGGUUUCCCUUCAUCUCCACUAACAUCAGGACGUUCCUGAGCAUCAUAAAAGUCCUGCAAUUAUAGCCAUUUAGAACUACUGAAAAAUGCAGGCACUGUCUUCCAAACCAGUAUCUGUUAAAGCUGCAGAGAGUAGUUUUUGGUUUCUUGGGAGACAGGGAGGAUGAAGGGGGCACUCAUGCACAGAACAUCUAUUCCAACAUGCCUGUCUUCAUCAGCCUUUGGUUCCUUCCUAUACAUUAUAUCAAAACAUUUCUCACAUCUAUCCUAUUUAGUUAGACUAUGACUAAGUCAAAUUUAAAAGCAACUCAACAUUUAGAGCCACUCUGAGUGUGGAAAAUCUCAAAUUGUUUUUCCCCUGCUCUCACACUACAACAACUAUCAACACAGCAGACUUCUCUGAUGAAAUGUAGGGAAUUUCUCCAACAAACAAGCUAUCGGUUCUGUGAUGGACAGCAGCUGGGUGUCCUCUAACUCAAUUCUAACACAAUCUCCCUAUAUAUAACAUCACAUCCCAUGGGUUGAGAGCUCAGUCCCUACGACUGUCCCCCUCCCACUCCUGAUGCCGAUCUCAAGCCUCAGGUUAUUUUGCUUGUGUUUCUAACUGACUUGCUAUAAAUCAGGGUUCCCACAACUCACUUCUCAGGUUUGAUUAAUUUGCUAGAAUGGCUCACAGAACUCAGAGAAACACUCACAUACACUUACCAGUUUGUUUUAAAAGGUAUUCUAAAAGAUACAAGUAAAGAGCCACAUUAACAGAUACACAGGGCAAGUUAGAAGGGUCCCCAGUGCAGGAGCUUCUGUCCCAUUGGGUUGGGAUGCACCACCCUCCCUGGCACAUGGCUGAGUUCUUGUUCACCUUCCUCUAAGCCUCCCUGUGUUCAACUAUCCAGAAGCUCUCCAAACUCUGCCCCUUUGGGUUUUGAUGGAAACUAUAUUUUGUAUGCAUGAUUCAUUAGAUCAUUGACUAUCAGCUUAACCUUUAGCCUCUCUCCCUUCCCUGCCAAUGAUAUGAUCCUUAUCUAGAAAAACCUAAAGACUCCACCAAAGAACUAUUAGAUGUGAUAAAUAAAUUCAGUAAAGUUGUAGAAUGUAAAAUCAACAUACAAAAUCACUAUAAUGUCUAUACAUUAGUAAUGAAGUAGCUGAGAAAGAAAUAAGCAAUUCCAUUUACAACAACAGCUAGAAAAAAUACCUAGGAAUGAGUUUAAGCACGGAAGUCAAAGAUCUCUUAAAAAGAAAUCUAUUCAACACUGAUGAAAGGAAGAAGAGGAUGCAAACAAACAGAAAGAUAGUCCAUGCACAUGAAUCAGAGGAAUUAAUAUUAGUAAAAUGACCAUACUUCCCAAAGCAAUCUAGAGAUUCAAGGAACUCUCAAUAAAAAUACCAAUGUUAUUUUUCACAGAAUUAAAAAAAAUAAUUCUAAUAUUCCUGUGGAACCAAAAAAUAAAAAAAGCUGAAAUAGCCAAAACAAUCUUGAGCAAAAAGAACAAAGCCAGAUGCAAAAUAUAUUACAAGGCUAUAAUAACUAAAACAGAAUGGUAUUGGUAUAAAAACAGACAUGUCAAUCAAUGGAACAUAAUAGAGAAUCCAGAAAUAAAUCCAUAUGUUUAUAGCCAACUGACUUUUAACAUAGGUGUCAAGAACAUUUAAAAAUCAAUAUCCAUAUGCAAAAGAAUAAAAUGAGAUCCCUAUCACUAACCCUAUAUAAAAACGAACUCAAGUUGAAUUACAUACUUAAAUGUAAGACCUGAAACUGUAAAACAACUAGAAGACCACCUAGGAGAAACAUUCUAGGACACUGGUCUGGGCAAAGAUUUUAUGGUUAAGACUUCAAAAAUACAGAAAACACAAACAAAAAUAGACAACAGGACUAUAAUAAACUAAAAAGCUUCUGCAUAGUAAAGAAAACAAUCAGCAGAGUGAAGAGACAACCUGUUGAAUGGGAGAAAGUACUUUCAAACCAUUUAUCUGACAAGGGACUUGUAUCUAGAAUAUAUAAGAAACUCAAACAACUCAAGAAUUAAAAAACAAAAUAAUCUCAUUUAAGAGUGAGCAAAGGACAUGAACAGGCAUUUCUCAAAAGAAGACAUACAAAUGGCCAACAGGAAUGUUAAAAAAAAAAAAACUCAACAUCACUAACCAUCAGAGAAAUGCAAAUCAAAACCACAAUGAGAUGUCAUCUUACCCCAGAUAGAAUAGACACAACUUAAAAAGACAAGAACAAAACAAACAAACAAACACAUGCUGAUGAUGUGGAGAAAAGGGAACUCUUACACACUGUUGAUUGGAGUUUAAAUUAGUAAUGCCACUAUAGAAAACAGUAAGGAGAGUUUAAAAAAAUCUAAAUACAGAACCACUACAUUAUCCAGCAAUUUGGGGUGGAGUGGCAAAACCCUGGAGUUCAGGGGUCAGCGUUGGCAGACAUCAGGGCCUGCGGGUGCUUGGGUAGCUGCAGGAGAAUAAAAGAGGCAGAUGCCUGGGUCCUAGAGUAUGGAAGUGAGGGAGGUGCAGAGCUGUCCCCGGAGGGCAGGAAUUAAUAGAAGAAUUCUUGAGACCUCUCGGGAAUAGGGAGAGUUCAAGCCCUCAGGAUCCAGGGCAAGGGGUCAGAAGCUUGGCCAGGCUCAUUGCUGAGCUCUUUGUAAGGCACAAUGAUCUUCAGACUCCAACCUAAGUCAUGCACACAUCCUCCGAGAACAUCGCCUUAGCUCCAGCAGAGAGGCCUGCUCUUUGCCUGUGACCCUGUGGCCCUUGGGCCUGACAUGGUGGCUCCUGCUCUGAAAUGCAAUUUCACAACCGUUCAGCAAGCUGAGUGCUGUGACCCCAGGCCUCAUGGGGCCGGACUCUGAUAUGACAGUAAGGUCCAAGCUCAGAAAGUAUGGCCCUGGAACUAUUACCCUGGGCCCCUUAGCGCCAGGCCUUAGCUAUCUUUUCUUCAAGACCCUAGGGACUUUCUCCUGCUCUACACACACACACACACACACACACACACACACACACCCCUUCUAAAUUGAUGCUUCCCAUUUUUCUCUCCUCCCUGACUCACUCUUCUUCCUUCUUUUUCUUCUUUCUUUCCUCCUCCUCCUUCUCCUUUUUCUGCUCCUUCUCCUCCUCCCUCUCCUCUCAUCUUUCUCCUCCCCCUCCUCUCCUUCUCCUCCUCCUCUUCUUUUUAUAAAGAAAAAGGUUUAAUUGACUCACAGUUCCAGUGUUGGGUAUGAUUCCCUCUUCUCUUAUGAUCCAUUUCUUCUCCCUUCUGCUCCCUGGAACCUCCCUGCUUCCUGGACUGAGGCUGCUCUCCCUGGACCUCAGGGUUGGCGCUCACAGGCUGAUUGCUGGGAUGAGCAGCCUCCACGUGAAGGAGACACCCAGCCUCACUGGAACAGGAAAGAUGACUGGGGAGAGAACACAGGGACGCAGACACAUUCAGAGGCCUUUGCAGAAAGAGAUACCAGAGGCUCCUGAAGUCACAAAGGGGAGGCAUGAAGAAAUCCUGCGUCUCAGUCCCACACAAGGCAACUGUCUCAGGCUACAGAAAACAAGUCAUGAACAAAUUCCGGUCAGUCAUGCAAUGACCACAGCUCCAGUGACCACAGCUCCUAGGACACUCAGGCCAGCAACGAUGCCCAUGAUGGGGAUGGUGAGCUGGGAAGGUGGCUCUGGGAAAGGAGAGAAAUGUGAAGGGCCCUGACCCCAGGUCUCAGCCCUGACCCUGCUGAAGGCUCCAGAAGGGCUCCUGCUUUUUCUGAGAAGCAAUAUGAUCCCUCAUCCCCCUCCUUACCCCAUCU